CUUAAUCCUAUCCCGUAUUUUUUCUUGGUCUAAUUUCGAGAUCGUGGGAGGAGUCGACGAGAUGUCGGUUUCACCCAGCUCGCCGCAACCUCCGCCGCACGAGCCCAACUUCCCCUGCCCUGGAGGAUCUAGCGCCUAGUACCAGCGCUCCAGGCGCCGCCGGCUCGGUUAGGGCAGCGGUGGCGGUGCCCUCCAUGGCCUCGACGGCGACGGCCCCUAAGCGCAGUGUCCCUUCCCCUCGACUGGUGGAACAGAUCGCGAGUCGCCUUCCGUAUGCCCCUUCGAUGGUGGGCCGCUCCCCAGCAUCCGGGCCAUGGCAUGAUGGCAUGGCCAUCCCACGCGGACGGUGCUCCCCCACAACAACAGUGUCCGCGAUCCAUCUCCCCUUCACCAACAGUGGCGGCGCCGGCCCAUCUCCGCUUCACCAGCGUUGUCAUGCCGUCGUGGGUCCCCGGUGGCAGCGUCUUCUGGCCUGGUCACCCACGGCGGCGUCCUCUGGCCUGGUCCCCCGCGGCGGCAGUCAACUACCAGGUUGUGAUCUCUAUUCGUCGCACGACCCUUCGCCAGGCCAGUGGUGGAUCUGUGGAGCGAAGGGAGAUCCAGUCCGUCAACCUGCAACGGUCCUCCUACUAUAUCUUCGGGUGCCGUCCCACGCCUGUAGCCUGCUGAUCUAGGAUGUGUUCUCUGCAAGUGUUCGUUCAGGAUGUGUUCUCUGCAAGUGUUCGAGGCCAGGAGCUCCUCUUCAAUUGCAGCUAGGUCUGAGGACACUAGGAGCUAAUUAGGCAAAAAUUCUCAUAUCCAUGCUGUUGGUAGCCUGGUGCUGUCCACAUCCAUGUCUUGGAUUUUGCACAAAGAAUGCCUAAAUUUUUGGUCCUUGUAUCUGAUGUGAAAAUGGAAUCAUUGCUUUGUCAAGAUGGAGUCCACUGGCCUAUCAGUUAUUUCCACCAGAGGAUGUCCAUGCCGCAAAAGGCCCUGGUUCCUCAACUAAAAGUUUCCAGUUGAAGUUGGUCGAUAAAAUGCAUGACAACACAAGAAGGGAUGUUAAGUGCGGUGGAUAUUUUGGGAGCAGCAGGCUUGCAGUGUAUGUUAUCAACGCAGGUUCUACCAUUUUGAAGCUAGCAGAACCUGACCAUGUGAGACCUAUGCAGCACAUAGUCUGUAGUUACGAUUAUUAGGUGUUUUAAGCCACAGUGGAUAUUUUGGAAAGGGCUACAGUAGUCUUAUGUCUGGCCAUCUACUAUAUAGACUAUUCACAACCAUAUAUCACUUUUCUUCUUCCUAGUUCAGCAGCUUCCUUUCUUAGGUGCUCAUCAGCUUAACCUUGGAGAUGAACUGAUCUGGGAGGUUACAGGUUGAAGGGUGAAUUUGUGUUGUAGACUGAGUCUUAUAGGUUAAGGUUCAAUUUUCAUUUAUGGUGUUAUUUGUUUAUUGCAGACAAUCCAUCUCUCCUCUGCUCCUACUGCUGGCCCUGGCAUCCUGACCUCCUGUUGCUAAUGCCUCUCAUUCAACCUGUUCUACAUGCCGAGAUACCUAUGGAUUAUCUAUGCAAGAUGAAAUAAGCUGGUGGAUUCACAAAUUAGUGUUCAUGUAUGAAGAUCCACUUCCAAACUUUCUUAUGGUUUCUUUUAGAUUUUUCAGUCAUGCAGUGUAGCUUCCAAGUUUGCUAUGCUUGAUCGACAGAGUUGGGUUCAGAAUAGUUCAGGAAAUACCAUUUUUCUCAGUAUUCAUAUGUGAUAUCUUUACAUUUAAAUCAUUUUUUUAGAUGUUCAAUUAUGAAUGGGCAUGGCAUAGGGAAGAGUUGAAGCAUUAUCGACAUCUCAUGUCAUAGUUUCAAAGUUAGUGUUAGCUAUUCAGGAUACAUGUCAUUUUCAUUUUAACACGUCCUUGUCACGGAUAGUUGAGAUUACUAUGGUACAUCAUUUUUAAUGACUGUACCUAGCACUAUUUAUGACCAAAAUGCUUGCAUCAUAAAUAAUUUAGACUUCAUGGUCGAUGAUUAUUUCAUUUUGUGAGGCCACCUUACAAAUGUCGCAAAAAAGAAAAAUACUUUGUUAUGGCUUACUCUGUUUUUAACCAUGAAAGUUCUCUUUUUUUUCCUGUUCUGCUUCUU